GAGGAAAACAAAGCCUUCUGGUUUCUGAAGCAGUGCUUGACUCUCUUCAAGAGCCCGCAGGCCCCCAUCCGCCAGGCAGCUGUACGAUUUGCAGGCCAGAUCAUCCAAACCCUGGAUGCGGAAGAGGCCAAUGAAAUUGAGGAAUUAUAUACAGCCCUAAAGUACUUGCGGGAAGACCCGGACACCAUGGUAAGCUGCC